UUUAUUGUGAUAAGAGUAAGGCCCGAGUGAAUUACCAGGUCACGGUCAACAGUUGUCUUAAACUAGAAAAGUAGUAUCCGUCAAUAGGAUACAGAAUACGGGGCUUCGUCACAAAAUCUCAAACAUUCCUCACAUAAUUCUCUAUUGAUUUCUCAUAAGGCAUGUCUCCAAAGACAUCCUAUAAGCGAAGUACUCCAAUAUCAUCCUGAGCUGUGAGGUCCAGCUCCACCAUAAAAUUACCAUUACGCAUAGAAGGCGGAACAUAAUUGAGAUCCUUACCUUUUUGUGAUGUCCCCACACGCUGCUCAGGCUGGUCCUCUUAUUCUGGUGUCUUCACUACUUUAGUGUCCUCCGACAACUUCAUCAAUGGCGGUAUAGUUUCCUUACCUCCAGUCAUAGGUGAGUUGCUAAUUCCUAAAAACUAUAACCGGUGAGGGACUAAUACUUCCUUAUGCAUACCUACUUUUUUAAUCUGAAUCUGAGUAUCCUUCUCACUCUCUUCUGUAAUCAAAAGAAAUUAGCUAGGAGAAAGCUCCCAAAUGUAAUGGGAUUAAGUUCAUAUUGAAUUGUACUAGCUAGAGUGACCAUAUUGGUCCUCGGCGUUCCUAUCUUCAUCUGGAUAUGAGCUUGGCGAGGCAUUUUUUUAUCUAAGGUGUGCUAAACGUGCACCGAGAGAAAAAAACGUGUCUUUAUUUGAUUUCGUUUACCAUUAAUUACUUCCUAAUCGCAUACUUUCUCUUUUUCAUUAUUGGAAGACAAAACUCUAGCGGAUCAUCCAUUAAUUAUAUUUAUAUUUCAUACUCCGGAUAAUCCGAUGCAUAUAUAUU
rnacentral:lncRNA from 1 species